CUUUUAGCCACUGCCAAAGCAGCUGACUGCUUCCAACCAUCCUCCUCUCUCUCUCUUCUUUGUGUUGCAGACAAGGAGCAAAGGUUAGACUUGGAGACAUAGCAGUUUUUCUUUUUGAUCGUCUCUGCUGCCAAGUUUGAUGCUUGGUUUACCUUGAUCACAAAGGUUAAGCUUUUGCUGUUUAUCCAUGAGACUAAAAAAAUAACAGAAACCCUACCAAAGUUGAGUAACAUGACCCACAGUCAGACCAGGAACAAAUACAAAUCAGCUUGGAUCCUAACACCAGUGUUUAUUUUGGCAAUGCAGAGUUCACCACGUGGGUGACUCUGUCCGGUUUCCCCACCUGCUGUUGUAUGGAGUUCUUGUCAGCAUCUUCAGAGCUCAAAGGCCUUCAUUCUGAGAAACACAGGGAGAGUCUUCCAUAUGCUGCCCCGACAUGAAGGUGUUAAGGUAACAGCCAGGUUUCCUCCAUCUUCUGUAAGUGGACAUCAUGGUCGCAGAGCCAACAUCUGAGUGAGCUGCAUCAGCCAACGUUGAGAGCCAGGAGCAUCUUUCAGUGCUCUGCUCUGUGUGAGAUUUUCAGUGACCCAGUCAUUACCCAAAUCAUGGAGCAAUUCUGGUUCCCCCAGGUCCUGUGCAGGCCAUGUGAUUUCCGGACUCAUCCUUCUUGAAUCAUGGAAGCAACAGGAACGCCUGCUUCAGGAAGUGCGGUGCCUGUCCCCUCCAGGAGGAUAUGAGCAUGUGAUGACCAGAGGGAAGGUGACAUCGUCCUCUGGCCCCACCAGACUCGACUGUGGACCCGUCUCCGCUGUGAGCCUCAGACACUGGAAUAUGGCCCCCUCACAUUUCAGAAGUGACAGAGACCAGUAACAUCAAUGAAAUUCGCCACGUCUGCAUCUUGAGUUCAUAUUUUACCAGUGAUGCCACAACUUCUGUACGGCAGCUAUCAUGAACUAUUUAUUACCUGAAGACAAAGCAAUGAGCUGAACAAUCUGAACUUGUUUUACCAUCACUACCCUUACACUGUUGGCGUCCUGUACAUUAUUGACAAAGAAGACAGAAGCAAGAGAAACGAGCAACAAAAACUUAAUGAAAAACAGAAGAAUCACAUGCAAUAGAAUUUUGAUUCAUAUUCCACAACCCCAAAUACUGGACUGAAUGAUAAGGAUGAAGUACCUCAAGAGGACGCAGAUUAAUACAUAAAAAAUGACGCAGCAGGACUUUCUGUUCAUUCUUAGAAGACACAUGGAUUUUCUUUGCAGCACAGCUAGCUUAACUGCCUCUCAUUAUUUAUUGAUUUUUCUAUUUUCUGGUUUUCAUCCACUUAAAUAGCACAAGAUUAA
rnacentral:lncRNA from 1 species